AAUUGCCUGCGGCGUUGGUUUGUUAGUGAUGUAGCGAGCCAAUGAUUCAAAAUCGGGAGCUUCAUAUUACUCCGUCUAGUGGAAGUCCCUUCUUGUGGAAAUCCUAACGACGAUCUUGCGAGCACCCACCUGGUGACCCGGUUCACCUACUCUAGUGAACGGCGCCGCGGGUUAAUA
rnacentral:other from 1 species